UACGGAGGGUGCAAACGUUGCUCGGAAUCAUUGGGCGUAAAGCGCACGUAGGCGGUCGGCUAUGUCGGAUGUGAAAGCCUCGGGCUUAACCCGAGAAGGGCAUCCGAAACUGGCCGGCUUGAGUAUGGAAGAGGGUCUCGGAAUUCCCGGUGUAGAGGUGAAAUUCGUAGAUAUCGGGAGGAACACCAGUGGCGAAGGCGGGUCUCUGGGCCGAUACUGACGCUGAGGAGCGAAAGCGUGGGGAGCGAACAGG
rnacentral:rRNA from 1 species